rnacentral:misc_RNA from 1 species
AAGUCGUAACAAGGUUUCCGUAGGUGAACCUGCGGAAGGAUCAUUAGUAGGGAGCGUGGGGCCUUGCGGGGUUCUGCCGACCUUGUGCUGUGUGAGUGUGAGUGUGUGUGAUGUGGGUGCUGCUGUUGGCAGUGCCCACACACAUCCCGCCAUUACUGACCCAUAUAUACACUGUUGUCUAAUCACCUCGCAUCCACACUCGGGUGCACAACCAUCGAAAACUGCCAGCAAUGGAUCACUCGGUUCUC